rnacentral:tRNA from 1 species
GCUCUGGUGGCUCAAUCGGAUAGAGCGUUGGACUUCUAAUCCAAAGGUUGCGGGUUCAAGUCCCACCCAGAGUA